AUGACGACGUCCCUCCGUCGCCGGCCCCUCUUUCCCCAUCCCAGUCGCAGCGCUCACCAUCCCGGCCCCACCCUACCAAACUUCCUCCUCCUCUCCCGAUUCCCCAACCCAAGCCCUAGCCUCGCCGCCGACCAACUCCUCUCCCCCAACCCCGCCGCCGCCGUCCUCCUCUUCUCCAACCCCAGGCUCUCUCGAAUCGACGCACCGCUUCCGCCUCCACCCUCUCCCCUUCCCAAGCUGCUCAGGCGGCGCCCAGAUCCGCCACCGCCGUCCUCUACAACCACACCCAUGCAGCGACAGAUGAAGGAGGAGACCUCCAUGUCUCGGCCUGCCUAG
rnacentral:rRNA from 1 species